UACGGAGGGUGCAAGCGUUAUCCGGAUUCACUGGGUUUAAAGGGCGCGCAGGCGGACUUGUAAGUCAGUGGUGAAAUACCUGAGCUUAACUCGGGAACUGCCAUUGAUACUAUAGGUCUUGAAUGUUGUUGAGGUUUGCGGAAUGGGUCAUGUAGCGGUGAAAUGCAUAGAUAUGACCCGGAACACCUAUUGCGAAGGCAGCAGGCUAAACAAAUAUUGACGCUGAGGCUCGAAAGCGUGGGGAUCAAACAGG
rnacentral:rRNA from 1 species